AAUGCUGCUUGGAGAAUGCUCUAAAUGACAAAGCAGAGAGAGAAAAACAAAUUUAAGACUUCUGGAAAACUCAGGUUAACAUUUUGCAAACCCAUUUCUGAAUAUGCUCAAAUGUAGGCAAAAUCUUUCUUAAAGUCAUCAAGAGCAAGAAGGCAAAGUGUCUUCAAGGAGCCUUUCACAGUCCUCUCCUACUCAAUUUUGGCUUUAUCAGAUCGAGUCAGGCUGUAUUUUAAUGCAGCACUUUGUUAUCACUCAGCACGUGGGCAGGGAUCUGUGAACAGAUGCAUCUGAGGAUAGCAAUGGGCAUGUUGUUUUGGGCCACAGAAGCUGGAGAACCCCCAGAGUGUACUUAAUAGAACUGAAGAUGGGUGGGGUCUCAGCUCAAGAAGGGGUUGUCUGGUGAGAGGUCUUUCUGAAGAGAAGACCCAAUCUCUGAAGAUCUCCCCUGUGGACCAAAGGGCAGAUUUGUGUUGUGUGGCCCCAGAGGACCAAGGCAGAACCAAAAGGGAAACAGGAUUUGGUUCUUGCUACUGGGUACCUCAGGAAGUAGUGAAACCCCUGACUCUGGCGUAUCAGUAACAAACACUAGAUGGCCACUGCUGGAAAGCUGUAGAGGGGGCUCUUGUGUUGUGUGAUGCCAGAACCAGAUUAGAGAGUCUACAGGGCAAUAAAAGAAUAUUUUCCCCUGGAAGGAAGUUUUCUGGUAUCAGCAUUUUGAGUUCCCAGCAAGGGCUCAUUCUGAAAAGGUCAGAGCACAUAAGCAAGGUGACCUCCUAAAGAUGGAGACUUAUCUGUUCUUAUGCUCUUCUCUGGAGAUUAGCACAAUGUUUAAUCAGUGAAUGGAUGGAAUGAAUGAAUAUUGAUCUGCCCUGUAAGGAAGAUGGUGAGGUAUGUGAUGCAAGCAGAGUAGUGGGGAAAGGCUAGAUAAGUACGUUGGGGCAAGAUUAAGAAGGACAUUAGAUGCCAGACAGAAGAACUUGCACUUAAUAUGGCAAGCUAGCACACAUGUAGCCAAAACCUAGGAAAUGGUUAGCUCAUGCUCCCAAGUAUCCCCAACUCACACAUCACCUAUCUUUUUGCUCACAUCCCAAGUCCCCCUCAUCUCACACUCUAAACUUCCCAAGGUCCCACUCCAAAUAUCUUCUAGCUCCAGAUAGCUGUGAAGCAUUUCUAUGGAGUCUUUUCAAGAUCUAAUCCUUGCUAGAACCAACCGAUCAACAGCAUUGAUCAGCUCACACAAUCUCUCCAAGACUGUGACAAAAACAACAAACAUCAGCAAAGACUGAUGUUCCCCUUCUACAGUAGAGCUGCUGCCAAAGCAGUAUCUUUGUGAGAGGCUGUGUUUCCCAGUCUCUCUUUCAUCUAGGAGGGGACUAGGGGAUUUAAUUUUCACAAAUAAGACAAUAAAACCAAUAUGUCUCACUUCUGUGUCUUUAAGUUUAAGAAGUAGGUGUGUCUUCUCCAUGGUCUCUUUAAUCAUCAACCAGAUGCGUGGAGAGGCCCUGAGCUCAACCUUAGAAAGAGCCUGGGAGGCUGUCACAGAUGCCUCAUUGAAUUCUGCCAUCAAUGGGAAAUAAAUGUUGAUUGGGUUAAGCCACUGAAAAUUUGAGGUUGUUUAUCAAGUUAGAUUAUCCCAACUCAUAGACACCCAGUUGGACUCAUAUAGAGCCCCCAGUGGACUUAGGAUCAAGGAUCAAGGAGCACCUAGAAGUGCCUGGCACUAAGACAGAACUCAAUAAAAACUUGGCAGAUACAUAAAUCAAAAUUCUCCGGGUCCUCAACACUUUGAUAGAGUCUCUAACUGACUCAUCCAUUCCCCUCUGAUAGAUACAGCCUCAAAUUAGAUCCUAACUUUAGAGAAGGGCAUUGAGGGAGGGCAAGCGUAAAUGGGCACAGAUACAGGAAUCUGAGGCACAAAAAUUUCCGAAGACAAUUUUGUGAUGGUUUUUGGUCCUUCCUGGAACACUCUCUCUUUGCCAACAUUUUGAGCUGCCUCACUGACCUCAUGGCUGCCAGCUGCAAAGCCCAUUUCAUUCCACAUUUAGUGAUACCCUCCUCAUGCCAAGUACUGAGGGUACAAUAACUAAGACAUGGCUCCCCAAGGAGCAUGUAGAUGAGAGGGGUGCAUAAGCCUAAUGCUCUAGAGAGACUGAGUACUGCUGAGUCAUGCUGAGGAACUGGAAAUAGUACUACUCCUAUCCUAGGAACAAGAAGCCAGCCAAACUCCAAGAUUAUAACUUUUCCUAAACCCAUCAAAGAGCUGAGGUUUCAAGGCAACAAAGUAGCCUGAAAUCUAAGAAAACACAGAAUCUUCAGAGAAGAGACAAUAUGGUCAUUGGUUCUUCUGUGACAGGGUGUGGGAAGAAGACAUACCAGGUAUAAGAAGAAUUCAGCUACAAUUUUAAAUAAAUCACUGGAGCUUGAGUGUGGGCUAGCUUGGGAGACGUCGAGACAAUCAAAACCACAGACAUAAGAGGAAUUCACACAAAUUCACAAACUCUUCAAGAAUCUCUACCAGGUGGUCUCAAGAAAGAUGGGGUGGGGGUAGGGGACAGGUGAAACAACAGGAGAAAGUUUCCUCACUGCUGCAGUCAUGAAGGUAGGAGCAGCUGGUGCUACAGGGGAAAAAAGCUCUGUCCAGAACCUUUUACCCUGUGGCCUUAAGCCACCAAGGGAAGGGCAAAUCCUGUCACCCCAGGGAACCCAUUGUAACUGGGGAAAGAGUACAAGAUGAAAACCUCUGCUUCUGAGGAGGGGCAGGAAACCAACUAGGGUCCAGAUGAUUAGAGGUCUUCUGCCCCCAUGGGAGGAGAACAGGAAACUCUCUUUAGCACAGGAACAGUCUGAAAUACAUGGCAGGGUUUGGCUGCCACAGCAGGGAGGGACAAGAUUACUGAGAAAGCUCAAAUGCCAAAAUCAAGGGGCACAUCAAAACUGCUUAAGACUGAGGCUGGAUCAGAACAAUAAAAAAAAACCCUGCCCCUACCCCCAGCAGGCUACUCAGGCCGAGAGACACUGAAUCACCAGAAACAGCAGUCUGCUGCUGAGGGGCGAGCAAGAGCAUGAAGAAAGAAACUCUCUGAGGUACACAGGAAAGGCCCAGAGCUGAGGAUGGAGCAGGAACGUUGAGAAAAACACUUACCCUAAGCACAAAGUAAAGCUAGAGAAAUUUGAAGCCACUAGUGCACUAAAGGUAACCAUGGCAACAGUAAGACCCAAAACCAGUUUAGCUAACUAGAUUAAUUUCAAACCCUACACAUGAAGCCUAGCAGAAAAAAAGGUAUGCCCGUUUCCUGGAAUAAAUAUUAUCUAGCUUCAUAUUUAUUGUCCUGCACAGGAUGUCCAGCCUUUAAUCAAAGAUUAUGAAACCCCUGGAAGAAAGCAAUAAAAAACAACUGUCAAGAAACAAAGCAAUCAACAGUUUCCAAGAUUACUCAGAUGUUGGAUCUAAUAGACAAGGGAUUUAAAAUAGCUACAACUGAUAAGUUAGAGAGUCUAAUGGAAAGAGUGAACAAUAUGCAUUAAAAAAAUGGGGGAAUUUCAGCAGAGAGAUGGAUAUCUAAGGAAGAAUCAGUUAGAAAUGCUAUAAAUAAACAGCAUUGUGACGGAGAUGGAGAAUGUCUUUGAUAGCUCAUCGAUAGAAUAGACACAGCCAAGGAAUGAAUCAGUGAACUUGAAUAUAGGUCACUAGAAAUUACCCAGACUGAAAGAGAAACAGAAAAAAAAGGACAAAGAGGAAUGAAUGCAUCUAAGAGCUAUGUGACUAUAUCAGAUGAUCCCUUACAUGAGUAAUAGGCAUCUCAGAAGGAGAAGGGAAAAAUUAUAGGGCAGGAAAAAUAUUUGAGAAGACAGCCAAAAAGAAUUCUAAAAAUAAUGAAAUACAUUAAGCCACACAUCCAAAAAUCCUCAGGAACCUCAAGCGGAACAAGUAUGAGCCUUCCAACACCGAAACUUAUCCAGUCUUAUAAUGCAGGUCAGCUGGUAAUGAAUUCUCCCAGCUUUUGUUUAGCUUAAAAAGCCUUUCUGAAUGUGUCAUUUUAAGAUGCCCCCCCCCAUUGUCUUCUGGCUUACAUAGUUUCUUGUGAGUGACCCGCUGUAAUUCUUAUCUUUGUUCAUCUGUAUUUAAUAUCUCUUUUUUUCUUGCCUCCUUCAAUAUUUCCUCUUUAUCUUUGGUUUUCAGUAGCAGGAAGUAGGGAUGAAGAGUGUAGUGAAUUUUUUCCCACCAGUGCCUUACAUUACAAAUGCCAUACAUUCAUUAAAUAUUAUCUCCCAAACAACAGAGAAGUUGACAACAACAUACAGAUAGAGUCAGUAAUGCAUUCACGGGCAUAGCACGCAGCAAGAAUCAGGAGUGUGUGUGUGUAGGUAUCUCAAUUCUCAAUUAGUACUCAAAUCUGUUCUGAAAACACAGAUGAUCAAAUCAAAGGAUAUAUGUGUUUCCAUCACCUAUAUAGAGUGAGGAGGGUAAUAAGACAAUCACAGUGCGCUGAGAAAUAUAUUCAAUUGAGAAAUCAAUAAAGGAUCCUCCUGCUGGUAUCACUGGGCAUGUGGUGUGGUUAUCCAAAUUCAAGUAAGCAGUACGAAGAUCUUCAGCGAGCUGCAAGUCACCCACGUCUUAUUUAUGGUCUGAUUUGCUCAAAGUACAGGAGAGUAUGUGAUACUAAAUAUUAAAUACUAGGAACGAUUAAGCUGGCGUAAGGCAAUGUUUCUUCUAAGGUUAUGCUUUUUAGCCAUCCCAAGUAUCUAAGAACAGGAAUGAUUUCUGCCAGCUGACUAGAAUGAUUAAAAGGAAGGUUUUUUUUUUAAGAUUUUAUUUAUUUAUUCAUGAUAGACACACAGAGAGAAAGAGAGAGGCAGAGACACAGGCAGAGGGAGAAGCAGGCUCCACGCAGGAAGCCCGAUGUGGGACUCGAUUCUGGGUCUCCAGGAUCAGGCCCUGGGCUGAAGGCGGCGCUAAACCGCUGAGCCACCCAGGAAUCCCCCCCCCUCUCUUUUUUUUUUUUUUAUAUGGAUCUCAUUCUUGUCAUAACAGAUUGGAUCCAGGAUGGCUUGGUUUCAGAGCACCUCACAUUCUUCUUUUAAGUCUUUCCAUCCCUUGAUAGUCUGUUUCCUUUGGAACUGGAGAUCAUCAGGAACACCAAAUUCUCAUGGUUAUAGAUGAUCAAGUCUCAAAGGUAGUGUGCAGGUAAGGGACACCAAAGACUUCUCCUCUGCCUGUUUUAAUUUCAGGUCAGUGGACAUCACAUGUGUCAUGGAGAGACGGGCUAGGAGAAGGGCGUUAAUACCAACCCAUUACAUUUUAACACAUCAACUUUAUAGGUCAGUGCUUCCUGCAGUUCAGUAAAAAUAUACCAAAAAAAAGGGGGGUGGGGUGGCAAAGGGCAUGAGAAGUCCACAGAAAAAUAAAAACAAAUGACUAAUAAAUACAUGAAAAGAUUUUCAACCUCACUCCUAAACAAGGGAGAAUAAGUUUAAAGAACCCAACAGCAUUUUUUACUUUUCUGAUUGGCAAGGAUGAGAAAGUCUGGUGUUCCC
rnacentral:lncRNA from 1 species